rnacentral:rRNA from 1 species
GAUUAAGUUAUUAAGGGCGCACGGUGGAUGCCUUGGCACUAGAAGCCGAUGAAGGACGUUACUAACGACGAUAUGCUUUGGGGAGCUGUAAGUAAGCUUUGAUCCAGAGAUUUCCGAAUGGGGAAACCCAGCAUGAGUUAUGUCAUGUUAUCGAUAUGUGAAUACAUAGCAUAUCAGAAGGCACACCCGGAGAACUGAAACAUCUUAGUACCCGGAGGAAGAGAAAGAAAAUUCGAUUCCCUUAGUAGCGGCGAGCGAAACGGGAAGAGCCCAAACCAACAAGCUUGCUUGUUGGGGUUGUAGGACACUCUAUACGGAGUUACAAAGGACGACAUUAGACGAAUCAUCUGGAAAGAUGAAUCAAAGAAGGUAAUAAUCCUGUAGUCGAAAAUGUUGUCUCUCUUGAGUGGAUCCUGAGUACGACGGAGCACGUGAAAUUCCGUCGGAAUCUGGGAGGACCAUCUCCUAAGGCUAAAUACUCUCUAGUGACCGAUAGUGAACCAGUACCGUGAGGGAAAGGUGAAAAGCACCCCGGAAGGGGAGUGAAAUAGAACCUGAAACCGUGUGCUUACAAGUAGUCAGAGCCCGUUAAUGGGUGAUGGCGUGCCUUUUGUAGAAUGAACCGGCGAGUUACGAUUUGAUGCAAGGUUAAGCAGUAAAUGUGGAGCCGUAGCGAAAGCGAGUCUGAAUAGGGCGUUUAGUAUUUGGUCGUAGACCCGAAACCAGGUGAUCUACCCUUGGUCAGGUUGAAGUUCAGGUAACACUGAAUGGAGGACCGAACCGACUUACGUUGAAAAGUGAGCGGAUGAACUGAGGGUAGCGGAGAAAUUCCAAUCGAACCUGGAGAUAGCUGGUUCUCUCCGAAAUAGCUUUAGGGCUAGCCUCAAGUGAUGAUUAUUGGAGGUAGAGCACUGUUUGGACGAGGGGCCCCUCUCGGGUUACCGAAUUCAGACAAACUCCGAAUGCCAAUUAAUUUAACUUGGGAGUCAGAACAUGGGUGAUAAGGUCCGUGUUCGAAAGGGAAACAGCCCAGACCACCAGCUAAGGUCCCAAAAUAUAUGUUAAGUGGAAAAGGAUGUGGCGUUGCCCAGACAACUAGGAUGUUGGCUUAGAAGCAGCCAUCAUUUAAAGAGUGCGUAAUAGCUCACUAGUCGAGUGACACUGCGCCGAAAAUGUACCGGGGCUAAACAUAUUACCGAAGCUGUGGAUUGUCCUUUGGACAAUGGUAGGAGAGCGUUCUAAGGGCGUUGAAGCAUGAUCGUAAGGACAUGUGGAGCGCUUAGAAGUGAGAAUGCCGGUGUGAGUAGCGAAAGACGGGUGAGAAUCCCGUCCACCGAUUGACUAAGGUUUCCAGAGGAAGGCUC